rnacentral:rRNA from 1 species
UGCUUCCAUCUGGAAGAAUCUGGAGACAGGUGCUGCAUGGCUGUCGUCAGCUCGUGUCGUGAGAUGUUGGGUUAAGUCCCGCAACGAGCGCAACCCUUGCCUUUUAGUUGCCAGCAGUUCGGCUGGGCACUCUAAAGGGACUGCCGGUGUUAAACCGGAGGAAGGUGGGGAUGACGUCAAGUCCUCAUGGCCUUUAUGACCAGGGCUACACACGUACUACAAUGGCCGAUACAAAGGGCAGCGACACUGCGAGGUGAAGCCAAUCCCGUAAAAUCGGUCUCAGUCCGGAUUGGAGUCUGCAACUCGACUCCAUGAAGUUGGAAUCGACUAAGUAAUCGUGGAGUCCAGCACUCGCCACGGUGAAUACGUUCCCGGGCCGUU